UAUACCGUGAAACUGCGAAUGGCUCAUUAAAUCAGUUAUCGUUUAUUUGAUAAUACCUUACUACUUGGAUAACCGUGGUAAUUCUAGAGCUAAUACAUGCUGAAAAUCCCGACUUCGGAAGGGAUGUGUUUAUUAGAUAAAAAACCAAUGCCCUUCGGGGCUCUUUGGUGAUUCAUGAUAACUUUACGGAUCGCAUAGCCUUGCGCUGGCGACGGUUCAUUCAAAUUUCUGCCCUAUCAACUUUCGAUGGUAAGGUAUUGGCUUACCAUGGUUUCAACGGGUAACGGGGAAUUAGGGUUCGAUUCCGGAGAGGGAGCCUGAGAAACGGCUACCACAUCCAAGGAAGGCAGCAGGCGCGCAAAUUACCCAAUCCCGACACGGGGAGGUAGUGACAAUAAAUACUGAUACAGGGCUCUUUUGGGUCUUGUAAUUGGAAUGAGUACAAUUUAAACCUCUUAACGAGGAACAAUUGGAGGGCAAGUCUGGUGCCAGCAGCCGCGGUAAUUCCAGCUCCAAUAGCGUAUAUUAAAGUUGUUGCAGUUAAAAAGCUCGUAGUUGAAACUUGGGCCUGGCUGGCGGGUCCGCCUCACCGCGUGCACUCGUCCGGCCGGGCCUUCCUUCUGAAGAACCUCAUGCCCUUCACUGGGCGUGUUGGGGAAUCAGGACUUUUACUUUGAAAAAAUUAGAGUGUUCAAAGCAGGCCUUUGCUCGAAUACGUUAGCAUGGAAUAAUAAAAUAGGGCGUGCGUUUCUAUUUUGUUGGUUUCUAGAGACGCCGCAAUGAUUAACAGGAACAGUCGGGGGCAUCAGUAUUCAGUUGUCAGAGGUGAAAUUCUUGGAUUUACUGAAGACUAACUACUGCGAAAGCAUUUGCCAAGGAUGUUUUCAUUAAUCAGUGAACGAAAGUUAGGGGAUCGAAGACGAUCAGAUACCGUCGUAGUCUUAACCGUAAACUAUGCCGACUAGGGAUCGGGCGAUGUUCUUUUUCUGACUCGCUCGGCACCUUACGAGAAAUCAAAGU
rnacentral:rRNA from 3 species